GACGAACCGUCCAAACGUUAUUCGGAAUCACUGGGCUUAAAGGGUGCGUAGGCGGUCUGUUAAGUUGGGUGUGAAAGACCUCGGCCUAACCGAGGAAUUGCGCCCAAAACUAGCGGACUUGAGCAAGGCAGAGGUGAACGGAACUAAGGGUGGAGCGGUGAAAUGCGUUGAUAUCCUUAGGAACACCAGUAGCGAAAGCGGUUCACUGGGCCUUUUCUGACGCUGAUGCACGAAAGCCAGGGGAGCGAACGGG
rnacentral:rRNA from 1 species